CCUACGGGAGGCAGCAGUGGGGAAUAUUGCACAAUGGGGGAAACCCUGAUGCAGCAACGCCGCGUGAGUGAAGAAGGAUUUCGGUAUGUAAAGCUCUAUCAGCAGGGAAGAAGAACGACGGUAGCUGAAUAAGAAGACAUGGCUAACUACGUGCCAGCAGCCGCGGUAAUACGUAGGGGGCAAGCGUUAUCCGGAUUUACUGGGUGGAAAGGGAGCGUAGACGGCUGUGCAAGUCUGAAGUGAAAGCCCGUGGCUCAACCGCGGAACUGCUUAUGAAACUGUAUAGCUUGAGUACUGGAGAGGCAGGCGGAAUUCCGAGUGUAGAGGUGAAAUGCGUAGAUAGUAGGAGGAACACCAGUGGCGAAGGCGGCCUGCUGGACAGAAACUGACGUUGAGUCUCGAAAGCGUGGGGAGCAAACAGGAUUAGAUACCCCUGUAGUC
rnacentral:rRNA from 1 species